CAAUUUCAAUGAGUAGAUCCGCCCCUGGAAACAAGAAACUAGUAGACAACUAUACUACAUGUACUCACUCAAUAUUAACAACAACAACAACAACAAACCCACCAUAGUCACACAAGUGAGGUCCGAGGAGCGUAGUGAGUAAGCAUACCUUACCUCUACCUAGAAGGUAGAGAAGUUAUUUCCGAUAGUUUCUCGGCCCAAAGAAAGCUGAAGAGAAAGCAGUAGUAACAAGUAACAGCAACAAGACAUUGGGAGCGCCACCCCCCCCCCCCCCN
rnacentral:lncRNA from 1 species